CCUACGGGAGGCUGCAGUAGGGAAUCUUCCACAAUGGGCGAAAGCCUGAUGGAGCAACGCCGCGUGGGUGAAGAAGGUCUUCGGAUCGUAAAACCCUGUUGUUAGAGAAGAAAGUGCGUGAGAGUAACUGUUCACGUUUCGACGGUAUCUAACCAGAAAGCCACGGCUAACUACGUGCCAGCAGCCGCGGUAAUACGUAGGUGGCAAGCGUUAUCCGGAUUUAUUGGGCGUAAAGGGAACGCAGGCGGUCUUUUAAGUCUGAUGUGAAAGCCUUCGGCUUAACCGGAGUAGUGCAUUGGAAACUGGGAGACUUGAGUGAAGAAGAGGAGAGUGGAACGCCAUGUGUAGCGGUGAAAUGCGUAGAUAUAUGGAAGAACACCAGUGGCGAAGGCGGCUCACUGGUCUGUAACUGACGCUGAGGUUCGAAAGCGUGGGUAGCAAACAGGAUUAGAUACCCUGGUAGUC
rnacentral:rRNA from 1 species